rnacentral:tRNA from 1 species
UCCCCUGUAGCUCAGCGGUAGAGCGGGAUCCUGUUAAGAUCAAGGUCGCAGGUUCGAAUCCUGGCGGGGGAGCCA